CUUUUCUCUGUUGGGCUGAUUCAGAGAAAGAGUGAUUAGCUUGCCCUGGCUUCUGUAGAACAAGGAGAAUUAGUUAACAAUGUUGGAAAUAAAGCUGUUUUGGGAUCCAAAUCGCAUCAGUUUUUAGGUGUAAAUAGCACCAAUACGAUGUAUGCAGAUGAAUUCGACUCUUCUGUGACAAUGCUAAAUAUUGCCACGAUCUAGUUCCAUCUCCAUGACUAUGCAAAGAUCAGUUUUGGAACCCCUCUUUCAAAAUAUUGAACCCAUAGAUGAGGAUCCCUGCACAUCUUGCUAACUGUAAGAGCAUGUUGGAAGCCUUUGAAGCCGGUGGAGAUUUCCAUUCAAGAACUGCAAUGAAUAUAUAUAUAUAUAUAUAUUCGUGAUGCAGUUAACGAGAAGCAUGUGCUUCUUGAGUGGCAUCCUCAGCCUGGUGAAGACAAAC